rnacentral:rRNA from 1 species
GAUGAACGCUGGCGGCGUGCUUAACACAUGCAAGUCGAACGGAGUAUUCCUCCCUGAAACCGAUGUAGCUUGCUACGGAAGUUUCUUUUGGAAUACUUAUUGGCGGACGGGUGAGUAACGCGUGAGUAACCUGCCCUUGAGUGGGGAAUAACACCGAGAAAUCGGUGCUAAUACCGCAUAAUGUCAGAGGACCGCAUGAUCUUCUGACCAAAGGAUUUAUUCGCUUAAGGAUGGACUCGCGUCCGAUUAGCUAGUUGGUGAGGUAACGGCCCACCAAGGCAACGAUCGGUAGCCGAACUGAGAGGUUGAUCGGCCACAUUGGGACUGAGACACGGCCCAGACUCCUACGGGAGGCAGCAGUGGGGAAUAUUGGGCAAUGGGCGAAAGCCUGACCCAGCAACGCCGCGUGAAGGAUGAAGGUCCUCGGAUUGUAACUUCUUUGAUCAGGGACGAAUUUUGACGGUACCUGAAGAACAAGUCACGGCUAACUACGUGCCAGCAGCCGCGGUAAUACGUAGGUGACAAGCGUUAUCCGGAUUUACUGGGUGUAAAGGGCGUGUAGGCGGUUUGGCAAGUCAGAAGUGAAAUUCCCGGGCUUAACUUGGGCGCUGCUUCUGAAACUGCUUUACUUGAGUGCUGGAGAGGAUAGUGGAAUUCCUAGUGUAGCGGUAAAAUGCGCAGAUAUUAGGAGGAACACCGGUGGCGAAGGCGGCUAUCUGGACAGUAACUGACGCUGAGGCGCGAAAGCACGGGGAGCAAACA